CGGAAGGAUCAUUACCGAGUGUAGGGUUCC
rnacentral:rRNA from 1 species